rnacentral:rRNA from 1 species
CCUACGGGCGGCUGCAGUGGGGAAUAUUGGACAAUGGGGGGAACCCUGAUCCAGCCAUGCCGCGUGUGUGAAGAAGGCCCUCGGGUUGUAAAGCACUUUCAGUGAGGAAGAACGCCUGGUGGUUAAUACCCAUCAGGAAAGACAUCACUCACAGAAGAAGCACCGGCUAACUCCGUGCCAGCAGCCGCGGUAAUACGGAGGGUGCGAGCGUUAAUCGGAAUUACUGGGCGUAAAGCGCGCGUAGGUGGCUUGAUAAGCCGGUUGUGAAAGCCCCGGGCUCAACCUGGGAACGGCAUCCGGAACUGUCAAGCUAGAGUGCAGGAGAGGAAGGUAGAAUUCCCGGUGUAGCGGUGAAAUGCGUAGAGAUCGGGAGGAAUACCAGUGGCGAAGGCGGCCUUCUGGACUGACACUGACACUGAGGUGCGAAAGCGUGGGUAGCAAACAGGAUUGAUACCCUAGUAGUC